UCCGGUUUAGACCGGCGGUCUCCCUAGAGAAGGCAACUAAGGGUUGCGCUCGUUGCGGGACUUAACCCAACACCUCACGGCACGAGCUGACGACAGCCAUGCAGCAUCUGUGCACGCUCCCUUGCGGGUCCCUUCCCUUACAGGUUGGUACCACGUGCAUGUCAAGUCGAGGUAAGGUUCUGCGCGUUGCAUCGAAUUAAAGAACAUGCUCCGCUGCUUGUGCGGGCCCCCGUCAAUUCUUUUGAGUUUUAGCCUUGCGGCCGUACUCCCCAGGCGGAACACUUAACGCGUUGGCUGCGGCACAGGAGGAUUCGACUCCCCCCACACCUAGUGUUCAUCGUUUACGGCUAGGACUAC
rnacentral:misc_RNA from 1 species